UGUGGAAUCCUCCCACUGGCCUGUUAUCUCCCCCUUAAUUUCUGGGGCAAAUUGCAUUAAAUGCUUUCCUUCCUCCCACAGUGGGCCAGGCAGGAGAGAGGCUGUUAGCUGCAGGCUAGGGAGUGUAGCCCCGGAUUCUCACCUGGCAACCCCAGUAAUGAGCACUGCAGAGACAGCCACAGACACCCUUAUUGACCAGGAAGAAGUCAGGAGCCCAAAGGCAGAGAACCAAGGGCUGCGGGCCUGGAGGGAACCCAGGGAAGCCUAGACAGCCAGAGGCAGGCAGGCAAUUAAAGGAGGGGGUGGAGUUUUCAAUUAACAGCUCUUCUGCUAGAAGCAGGUAAUUAACGGAUUAGCAAGGCUGUUAGCAAGGCUGCUUGCUGCCAGUGAGGAACCUGGCAGGUGCUGCCUUGGAGAAGGAGGACCAGGCUCCAGAUUCCACAGGAAGGAAAGGACUCUUCGGAGGCAGGAUCCUGAGGGCAGCUGAGAGUCAUGGGACUCAGCAGGGACACAGUGAGCAGGCUGGAAGGGCGGGAGGCAGGCCAGAGGGGAUGGGGCAGUAUAAUCCCACUGUCCCCUGGCCUCGCAGGGUCCCUGGUUUGCAGAGCCCUCUUUGCCUGGGAUGGGCUAAGGAGGCAGUGUAUGAGAAUAUCUGGGGGUCAUGGUGUUGACACCCCUGGAAUUGGCACAUUACCACAGAGCUCACACGUUUUCACAGUGGUUUAGGGGGGAAGCUGCAUAAGGCGGGGCUGACAGCAAGGACUUUGACAUUAGACACGCUUCAGUUAAGCCUCGCUCCCACUUCCCAAUCUAGGGGACUAGGGGAUCCUCAGACAGCCCAGAUGUUCCUCAGACUACUCAGCACCUUUCUAGUUAGGCAGGAUCAUGCCAAAUUCUAAAGAAGCCAGUACGCACCUCCAUCUGUGUCUUCCCCUGCCAGGGAGUUGGCAGAGGCCACUGUUCCAGACAGCAGAGCCUCAAUCAGCCUGAAUCCCUGAGCGACCUGCAUGGAGCAGAUUCCCUCGCCAGCCCCCAUGAGUGGGAGUGAGAGUCCAGAGAUCUGCUGGGGGAUGGUGUGAGCCCAAAGAAGCCGAUUUCCUUCUUGAAGGGGGUGAGAAGAAGGGAGACUGUGACUUGACCAAGCCAAUCGGCAAACUACCUUCCCUCCCAACAGAAGUUGAUUUGUUCAGGAGGGGGCAUGUGACAAAAGCUGGGCCACUCAGAGCCCAUCUAAGGACUUCACUGAAAUGCUGACAUAAAGCAGCCACUUGUGCCACAGGGGGAAAGCCAGCCUCAAAUGAAACUGUCUCACAAAGAAAUAGAGAUGAAUGACUUGUAGAGAACUGGAAACAGAAACAAAAUGAAACUUGCAGAGAAAAUAUUGCAAGUAAAUGUUGAACCUCUGGAUCGAACCAUGCCUGAGUCCCUCCUGGCUCUGACUUUUCAGUUAGAUCUCCAAGAGGACCCUCCUGCCUCUGCUUCUCUUCCUCCCCUGAAGUCAAUUUUGCAGUGUGCUGGUCAGCCUCAUCCAGCCCCUCUUUUCUGGGAACUGCUCUAACUCGAUGGCUGGAUUGACUGGCCAAGAGACAGACAUCAGGGUGAGCUGGAUCAUCAGACAGUCUCUCCUAGGAAUGUGAAAUACGAAUUCAGAGAGGCUGGCAGCCCAUUGUUCACGGGAAUGCAGAAGCUGUGAGGCUGAGAAACCCCUUUCCAUCCAGAGGGAAAGAAGGGUCCAGUUUCCUCUGAAGUUUGCAAGGACACAUGGAAGGUCAGCAGAAACUUGGCCAUCUCAGUGUCCUGGUGGGUGAUUUUUACGAGGAUUUCUCAUCACAGAGGAUGGGAACCCAAAGGAGAAUGGCCGCCAUUGGAGCCUUUCCUGUCCCUCCACUGCCCAGAACAACUGAACUCUGUGUCAGUUGGGCUGCAAGUAAAGAAAACUCAACUAAUGGAGGCCUCAUUGAACAGGAGUUCAUUUUACUCACGUAACAAACCUAUGUGGUCCCAGGAUUGUCUCACGGCCCAGUAAAGGCAAAGCAUGGCGUUAGCAAGUCUGAGAUGUUCUUGAAUUUCCCCCCAUUGCUGCAAGAUGGCCCCUACAGCUCCAAACAUCACAUCCUCAAUGGUGAAUAAAGCUGAUCUCCAACUGGGAAGAACUUCUGUCUCCUGGUGUGGUGAAGGCUGUUGGAGCAUCUGCAGGAGCAUCCAAACCCUGUGCUAUUGGGGUAGUCCAUGCCCUUCAAGCCAGUCAUGGCUUUCCUGUUUCCUCUGUCAAAUACUGGCUAAGGAUAGGUCUGUGAUGCAAUUCUGGCCAGUGAGACAUGAUGGAAGAGCUGCUGGGUGAAAUUCUGGGAAAAGUUCCCUUACUCUUUAAAAGAUGGAUCCAGGAGAAGAGAGUCUCUUUUGCUGGGUGUUGUCAUAUCUGGAGGUGAUGCCUGGAACUGUGGCAGCUGUCUUGUGAUUAUGAGGGAAGCUGGCCUGAAAACAGACUGGCCCACUGAAGAGGAGGGCAGCAUGGAAUGUGGAAUAAACCUGGGUCCCUGUUGGCUUCCUGCGGCCCUGAUCUAACCAGCCCUGAGCUGUCCUACCUCUGCACUGCUUGGCACAGGAGACACAUCUUGAUUGUUUAAGCCCCUUUGAGUUGGGUUUUCUGUUCCUUGCAGCUGACAGCACUCUAACCAAUCCACACAUUUCCCUCUGCUCGAUUUCCUGCUCCAGAGAGACAGGCACAGACCAGUACCGGGCAGCCCCACUCUGGGGAAAAACAACAGUGCUUAUUGUUUGCCGGCACAGUGGGAGCUCUGCCUCCUGGCACAGUGGGAGCUCUGCCUCCUGUGGCAGGCUGGCCAUUCCAAAACCACACUGCCUGCCACUGCCAUAAAGAGGCCAGGACUGUGUUCAAAACCCCAGGCAGCAGGAGGAGUGGUUUGUGGGAGGUGUUGUGGUAGUGCAUAAAGGAAGGUCAUUUCCUGACCCUCAGAACCCACACUGCCCUCAGCCCCACACAGCCCUACCCAGCCCAGCAUCGCCCCCAGUGCCCCUGGAGACAAUAAUGGCAGCCACCCACUGGCUGCUCCUGUGCGGGCAGGGCAGGAAAGCUGGUGGUUAAGUGCUGGAGAACCCCCAGGCCCUGGGGCUUGGCCGGAAAGGAUUUCUGUAGAGACAGCGUGGACAUUCUGUCCUCUGCAGGCCGCCUGGUACAGGAUGAAAACAGGCCGGCUCAGUACUUUUUUGGCAACCGAUUAUAUAGAUUUGCAUCCACAUGAGCUCCCUCUUGCAAUGACCCAGACCCCCACGAGGGCUCUCCCCACAGUCAUUUGUGUUGAGAACGCUCUGAGCCCUUGAGCCUCCUUCCUCUCUGGGAAAGGGACUUUUUGGCAGUGAGAAGGACCUGGAGGGAGGCACUUCUGGAGGCAUUUCCUUUCUGGGAGGAAAUGCUCCAGGGCUCUCCUCCAUCCACCAACAGCCUCCAAGUUGAGUAAGUGGCAGCGAAGGUCACGCCUGAGCUGGCAGCCAUGGAACCUCACCUCCUGCUUUUCCAGCUUCGUUCCCAAAGACGUCCCUCCACGAGCUUGUGCUCAUGCCAUGCCUCUGCUGGAAGCCCUUGCUGUCUGCAGGUGGCGAUGUGACCCGGGCCUGGCCCUGGGGAUUUGUUCAGGCGUGUCACUCUUUCUGACCAAAGGGGACCAGCCUUGGGGCUUUUGUGGAAACCUCUGAGAAAGGGAGGUCCACAAUUCUGGUUUCCUAGCUGGAGAGAAUACGCCUGGCCCUGCUGGCAACCAUCUUUCCCACCCAAGGGAGUCAGCCUGGACAUUUUAGUCACUUGAGUCAAUAAAUUCUGUUUGCAAAGAAAAAAAAAAUCGCUUUGAGCCGGGCUUUCUGUGGCUUACAGUGGAAACUCAUUAGUAAUAUAAAUGCAGAUAUCCCUCUUAGGCCAAAGUAAUCUCUCCUUUCUUGCUUGCUCUAUACCACACACACCUGCUUCAUUGGCAUUUACUGUUUCCCCACCUGCACGGGUGACCUUAGCCCCCCUGCACAAAGGCCUG
rnacentral:lncRNA from 1 species